rnacentral:rRNA from 1 species
AUGCUGGAGGUAUCAGAAGUGCGAAUGCUGACAUAAGUAACGAUAAAGCGGGUGAAAAGCCCGCUCGCCGGAAGACCAAGGGUUCCUGUCCAACGUUAAUCGGGGCAGGGUGAGUCGACCCCUAAGGCGAGGCCGAAAGGCGUAGUCGAUGGGAAACAGGUUAAUAUUCCUGUACUUGGUGUUACUGCGAAGGGGGGACGGAGAAGGCUAUGUUGGCCGGGCGACGGUUGUCCCGGUUUAAGCGUGUAGGCUGGUUUUCCAGGCAAAUCCGGAAAAUCAAGGCUGAGGCGUGAUGACGAGGCACUACGGUGCUGAAGCAACAAAUGCCCUGCUUCCAGGAAAAGCCUCUAAGCAUCAGGUAACAUCAAAUCGUACCCCAAACCGACACAGGUGGUCAGGUAGAGAAUACCAAGGCGCUUGAGAGAACUCGGGUGAAGGAACUAGGCAAAAUGGUGCCGUAACUUCGGGAGAAGGCACGCUGAUAUGUAGGUGAAGUCCCUCGCGGAUGGAGCUGAAAUCAGUCGAAGAUACCAGCUGGCUGCAACUGUUUAUUAAAAACACAGCACUGUGCAAACACGAAAGUGGACGUAUACGGUGUGACGCCUGCCCGGUGCCGGAAGGUUAAUUGAUGGGGUCAGCGCAAGCGAAGCUCUUGAUCGAAGCCCCGGUAAACGGCGGCCGUAACUAUAACGGUCCUAAGGUAGCGAAAUUCCUUGUCGGGUAAGUUCCGACCUGCACGAAUGGCGUAAUGAUGGCCAGGCUGUCUCCACCCGAGACUCAGUGAAAUUGAACUCGCUGUGAAGAUGCAGUGUACCCGCGGCAAGACGGAAAGACCCCGUGAACCUUUACUAUAGCUUGACACUGAACAUUGAGCCUUGAUGUGUAGGAUAGGUGGGAGGCUUAGAAGUGUGGACGCCAGUCUGCAUGGAGCCGACCUUGAAAUACCACCCUUUAAUGUUUGAUGUUCUAACGUUGACCCGUGAUCCGGGUUGCGGACAGUGUCUGGUGGGUAGUUUGACUGGGGCGGUCUCCUCCUAAAGAGUAACGGAGGAGCACGAAGGUUGGCUAAUCCUGGUCGGACAUCAGGAGGUUAGUGCAAUGGCAUAAGCCAGCUUGACUGCGAGCGUGACGGCGCGAGCAGGUGCGAAAGCAGGUCAUAGUGAUCCGGUGGUUCUGAAUGGAAGGGCCAUCGCUCAACGGAUAAAAGGUACUCCGGGGAUAACAGGCUGAUACCGCCCAAGAGUUCAUAUCGACGGCGGUGUUUGGCACCUCGAUGUCGGCUCAUCACAUCCUGGGGCUGAAGUAGGUCCCAAGGGUAUGGCUGUUCGCCAUUUAAAGUGGUACGCGAGCUGGGUUUAGAACGUCGUGAGACAGUUCGGUCCCUAUCUGCCGUGGGCGCUGGAGAACUGAGGGGGGCUGCUCCUAGUACGAGAGGACCGGAGUGGACGCAUCACUGGUGUUCGGGUUGUCAUGCCAAUGGCACUGCCCGGUAGCUAAAUGCGGAAGAGAUAAGUGCUGAAAGCAUCUAAGCACGAAACUUGCCCCGAGAUGAGUUCUCCCUGACCCUUUAAGGGUCCUGAAGGAACGUUGAAGACGACGACGUUGAUAGGCCGGGUGUGUAAGCGCAGCGAUGCGUUGAGCUAACCGGUACUAAUGAACCGUGAGGCUUAACCUUACAACGCCGAAGCUGUU